CGCACAUUGCGCCCCUCGGUAUUCCGUGGGGCACGCCUGUUCGAGCGUCAUUUACACCCUCAAGCCUAGCUUGGUGUUGGGCGUCUGUCCCGCACUCGUUGCGCGGACUCGCCUCAAAGUCAUUGGCGGCGGUCGUGCCGGCUCCUCGCGCAGCACAUUUGCGCUUCUCGGAGGCCCGGCGGAUCGGCAUCCAGCAAGCUACUUCUUAUGACUUGACCUCGGAUCAGGUGAGGAUACCCGCUGAACUUAA
rnacentral:misc_RNA from 1 species